UCCAUAUGUAUUCUUAGUCUGGCACACAGAUAGUCUCAAGAAGAGUUUCUCACAAGGCACUUGAUCGGCUAUAAGUAUGAUAAUCAUCAUAUUCCCCCCAGAACACUAGCAGCUGGUACGCCUUGCAAAUGGCCUCGAUGGAUGCAUCUACCGGUGUAUUGCGUAUAGUGACAACUCUAUUUUCAUGCUCCAGGCAGUUAGCAUAGAAUUCCCUAGCCACCUGAACGUUGACCUCCUCUGGUUCUUCAAAGAAGAUGUCCAAUUGACACCUCCUCAACUCAUUGAACAUAUUCGGACAUCCCUCGCACUAGCUUGACCCUUGCCUCUUGAGGAGCUGCCCGGACCACUAACGGAGGAUACAGUGUUGUGUCUUUUUACUGAUGGAUUCAUUUUAGCCGUGGAAUAGAGAAUGCCUAUCAAUGCGGGUGUGCGAUGUGGGACUAUGGGUGUUUACUCAGACUUCACCACAUCCAUGUCACAUUAGCCCUUAUAACUCCAUCGAGAAAAUUCCACAAACACCUUGUGGGAAAAACAAUUUCGUAACAUAUAUCCCAUAUGGGUAUAUCAAAGCUUCCCCCAAUUCACAAGUUUUAUUACACCAUUACCCCAUAACGAUUAGUUCAACACCCUAAAACAUACAACUCUCCAACACAAUACACACCCAUCCCCUUCACAAGUUACUACUCAAACGAAAUUCAAAAGAAAAAGAAGACAAAAAACAAAAAUCUACUAAAAUUACUACACAAUUACAAACAGUAGGCUAGCAUACAACUACAAAAACAUACAAAGAAGAAAAGAUAGGGGGAGGUGAGUUACAUACCCUGACGGAAGAAGAAGUGAGAGGAAUGGAGAUAGGGGUAGUAUGAGUGAAGAAGAAGAAGAAGAAGAAGAGAGGAG
rnacentral:lncRNA from 1 species